AGAGUUUGAUCAUGGCUCAGAACGUACGCUGGCGGCACGCCUAAUACAUGCAAGUCGAACGAAGUAGCAAUACUUAGUGGCAGACGGGUGAGUAACAUGUAGGUAUCUUCCCAUUGGUGAGGAAUAACACGAGGAAACUUGUGCUAAUACCUCAUAAGUCUUUACGGAGAAAGCUUUAUGCGCCGAUGGAUGAGCCUGCACUUGAUUAGUUUGUUGGUAGGGUAAUGGCCUACCAAGACAAUGAUCAAUAGCUGAUUUGAGAGGAUGAUCAGCCACAUUGGGACUGAGACACGGCCCAAACUCCUACGGGAGGCAGCAGUAGGGAAUCUUGCACAAUGGGGGAAACCCUGAUGCAGCGAUGCCGCGUGAGUGAAGAAGGCCUUUGGGUUGUAAAGCUCUUUCGUCGGGGAAGAAAAUGACUGUACCCGAAUAAGAAGGUCCGGCUAACUUCGUGCCAGCAGCCGCGGUAAUACGAAGGGACCUAGCGUAGUUCGGAAUUACUGGGCUUAAAGAGUUCGUAGGUGGUUAAAAAAGUUGGUGGUGAAAUCCCAGAGCUUAACUCUGGAACUGCCAUCAAAACUUUUUAGCUAGAGUAUGAUAGAGGAAAGCAGAAUUUCUAGUGUAGAGGUGAAAUUCGUAGAUAUUAGAAAGAAUACCAAUUGCGAAGGCAGCUUUCUGGAUCAUUACUGACACUGAGGAACGAAAGCAUGGGUAGCGAAGAGGAUUAGAUACCCUCGUAGUCCAUGCCGUAAACGAUGUGUGUUAGACGUUGGAAAUUUAUUUUCUGUGUCGCAGCGAAAGCAAUAAACACACCGCCUGGGGAGUACGACCGCAAGGUUAAAACUCAAAUGAAUUGACGGGGACCCGCACAAGUAGUGGAGCAUGUGGUUUAAUUCGAAGAUACGCGCAGAACCUUACCAACACUUGACAUGUUCGUCGCGACUUUAAGAGAUUAAAGUUUUCGGUUCGGCCGGACGAAACACAGGUGCUGCAUGGCUGUCGUCAGCUCGUGUCGUGAGAUGUUGGGUUAAGUCCCGCAACGAGCGCAACCCUCACUUUUAGUUGCCAUCAUUUAGUUGGGCACUCUGAAAGAACUGCCAGUGAUAAGCUGGAGGAAGGUGGGGAUGACGUCAAGUCCUCAUGGCCCUUACGUGUUGGGCUACACACGUGCUACAAUGGCAUUUACAAUAGGAAGCAAAACGGCGACGUUAAGCAAAUCCUAAAAAAAUGCCUCAGUUCGGAUUGUACUCUGCAACUCGAGUACAUGAAGCUGGAAUUACUAGUAAUCGCGGAUCAGCGCGCCGCGGUGAAUACGUUCCCGGGUCUUGUACACACCGCCCGUCACACCAUGGGAGUUGGUUCUACCUUAAGGCAAAGCUUAAAACCUUUGACCACGGUAUAGUCAGCGACUGGGGUGAAGUCGUAACAAGGUAGCCGUAGGGGAACCUGCGGCUG
rnacentral:rRNA from 1 species